CCUACGGGUGGCUGCAGUGGGGAAUAUUGGACAAUGGGGGCAACCCUGAUCCAGCCAUGCCGCGUGUGUGAAGAAGGCCCUCGGGUUGUAAAGCACUUUCAGUGAGGAAGAACGCCUGGUGGUUAAUACCCAUCAGGAAAGACAUCACUCACAGAAGAAGCACCGGCUAACUCCGUGCCAGCAGCCGCGGUAAUACGGAGGGUGCGAGCGUUAAUCGGAAUUACUGGGCGUAAAGCGCGCGUAGGUGGCUUGAUAAGCCGGUUGUGAAAGCCCCGGGCUCAACCUGGGAACGGCAUCCGGAACUGUCAAGCUAGAGUCCAGGAGAGGAAGGUAGAAUUCCCGGUGUAGCGGUGAAAUGCGUAGAGAUCGGGAGGAAUACCAGUGGCGAAGGCGGCCUUCUGGACUGACACUGACACUGAGGUGCGAAAGCGUGGGUAGCAAACAGGAUUAGAUACCCCAGUAGUC
rnacentral:rRNA from 1 species